rnacentral:misc_RNA from 1 species
AACGCACGAGACCUGCGGACCUGCGGAGGGAUCAUUAAUGAGAAGCUGCCCCUCGUGGGUAGACCUCCCACCCUCUGUGAACUUACCUUUGUUGCUUUGGCAGGCCCGUCCUCUGGACCGCCGGCUUCGGCUGGCCCGUGCCUGCCAGAGGGUUCCAAACCCUGUCUGUCAGUGUUGUCUGAGUCUAUAUGAAAUCGUUAAAACUUUCAACAACGGAUCUCUAGAUCGGAAGAGCACACG